UACAGAGGUCCCAAGCGUUACUGAGAAUCACUGGGCUUAAAGGGUGCGUAGGUGGUCCGUUAAGUCAGUUGUGAAAUCCCCGGGCUCAACCCGGGAACUGCUUCUGAUACUGGCGGACUUGAGGCCAGUAGGGGUCACUAGAACUGACGGUGGAGCGGUGAAAUGCGUAGAUAUCGUCAGGAAUGCCGGUGGUGAAGACGGGUGACUGGGCUGGUUCUGACACUGAGGCACGAAAGCGUAGGGAGCGAACGGG
rnacentral:rRNA from 1 species